rnacentral:lncRNA from 1 species
UAAUGUGCUUGGACACAGAGCUCUGUGAACAGCCUCUUUUGCAAUGACCUUUUGUGUCUUGUCCUCCUUGUGCAAGGUGUCAAAGGUCGACUUUUGGACAACUGUCAAGUCAGCAGUCUUCCCCAUGAUUGUGUAGCCUACAGAACUAGACUGAGAGACCAUUUAAAGGCCUUUGCAGGUGUUUUGAGUUAAUUAGCUGAUUAGAGUGUGGCACCAGGUGUCUUCAAUAUUGAACCUUUUCACAAUAUUCAAAUUUUCUGAGAUACUGAAUUUGGGAUUUUCCUUAGUUGUCAGUUAUAAUCAUCAAAAUUAAAAGAAAUAAACAUUUGAAAUAUAUCAGUCUGUGUGUAAUGAAUUAAUAUAAUAUACAAGUUUCACUUUUUGAAUGGAAUUAGUUAAAUAAAUCAAAUUUUGAUGAUAUUCUAAUUAUAUGACCAGCACCUGUAGACUCAACAUUCAUCAUCUGAAUUGCCAUGUCAUUCAUCUCAGUAACAUUGUUAUUUCCAGGUCAUGAUGAGCAUCUGAUUGUUUUUGUGAACCAGUCUGUUCAUCUGCAGUAUGUCAGAGAAGAAAGGAAAGAUGAGUCUCUCACAGAAACAGAGUGUAAGAUCAGGAUCACAUGUUUCCAGCUCUGUGUCUGUGAAGAGUGACCAGUCAAAAGAUGAUCCACCGUACUUCAGUGAGAAAAAAACAUCAUCUACAAAAAGUGUAAGAUCAGGAUCACAUGUGUCCAGCUCUGUGUCUGUGAAGAGUGACCAGUCAAAACAUGGUCUGCCACCAAAAUUCAGUGAGAAAAAAGCAUCAUCUACCAAAAGGUAUUUAAUGUUUUUCUUAUUGUUGGUUGCACAUGGACUGUUAGAAAAUAUUUCAUUGAAUAUGUAUCAUGAAUCUAUAAUUGCUUAAAUAUUUAUCAGAGUUUUCAUUAACCCUCUGAGGUCUAAGGGUAUUUUUGGGGCCUGGAGAAGUUUUGUCAUGACCUGACAUUUGUUUUUUUUCAGCUGCUUAUAAACAUCUAAAUGGCUAAAGUCUAAUAUCACAGUAAUCAGCACAAACUGGGCUAUAAU